UGGACACCGGCACCGGACAGUGACACCGGCACCGGGCAGUGACACCGGGCAUGGACACCGGCACCGGACAGUGACACCGGCACCGGGCAGUGACACCGGGCAUGGACACCGGCACCGGGCAUGGACACCGGGCAUGGACACCGGGCAUGGACACCGGCACCGGGCAGUGACACCGGGCAUGGACACCGGCACCGGGACCCACGGUCGGGCAGCGACACCGGCGCCGGGACGGGCUCUCCCCUCUCCCAAACCCAUCAAGUCACGGCCGGAGCGCCCUCCACGGGGGCAGAGCCCGCAGCGGCAGCUCAGCUCUGCAGGCGCGACCUCCGCGAUGCUGCUCCAGCAGCACCGGCACCGGACAGGGCUGCACCGAGCUGCGGAUGGCUUGGUCUGUGUUAUGGAAAAAGCAUGAUGACCCUUACAUGCCAGCAGAAUGGGAGUAGCAUAGAGGAUACACAAAAGAUAACGACCACUAACGACCAUCAACUCCAAGCAUCAGCCCUGGCAUGGUCAGCGAAGAGAACCAAGGAAUGCGGACCACAUUAGCAUGGGAGGUGAAGAAAUCCUUAACCAAUAAGAAACCAAACACUAAGAACUGUGUAACUUGGGACCAAUGAACAUUGAACCAAUGAAUUUCUAUGGAUUUUGAUUGUGUAAGUAUCUGAAAAAUCUAGUAAAGA